rnacentral:lncRNA from 1 species
UUUAUCUUUCAUCCUGAAGACCCACAGUGCCUUAUCUACUGUGUCAACAGACCUCGGCCUGGACUGCCGUGACGCCUUUGGGGUGCGGGCGCGCCGCAGCCAGCCAGGACGGAGCCUGGAGGCGCAAGAGGAAGGAGGAUACCGCCAUAGGGCACCUGGGGGUCAAAUGAGAAGAAAAAACGCUGGGGAAGCUUGGAGAAAAUCUACCGCACUGCUGUGAAAAACGUCAGUGGCUGGCUGUCCAUAAAAGGCUAUAAAUUAGCCCUUUACAAUUUUGGAAAUUCA